rnacentral:rRNA from 1 species
CCUACGGGGGGCAGCAGUGAGGAAUAUUGGUCAAUGGCCGGAAGGCUGAACCAGCCAUGCCGCGUGAAGGGCAGGGGCCUAGGGGCGGUAAACUUCUUUUGAGCGGGAGCAAGAAUGGGCACGGGGGGCCAGACGAGAGGACCGUACGAAGAAGCAGCGGCGAACUCCGGGCCAGCAGCCGCGGGAAGACGGGGGAUGCAAGCGUUCUCCGGCUUUCUGGGGGUUCAAGGGGGCGUAGGCGGGGAGGUAAGGCAGCGGGGAAAUGCCCCCGCUCAACGGGGGGAAGUGCCAUUGAUACGGCCUUGCUGGACUGCGGCUGCCGUGGGCGGAAUCUGUGGUGUAGCGG